rnacentral:rRNA from 1 species
AAAAAAGGUAAGCUACUAAGAGCGAAUGGUGGAUGCCUUGACUGGUAAAGGCGAUGAAGGACGUACUAGACUGCGAUAAGCUACGGGGAGCUGUCAAGAAGCUUUGAUCCGUAGAUUUCCGAAUGGGGCAACCCAAUGUAUAGAGAUAUACAUUACCUAUAUAGGAGCGAACGAGGGGAAUUGAAACAUCUUAGUACCCUCAGGAAAAGAAAUCAAUAGAGAUUGCGUCAGUAGCGGCGAGCGAAAGCGUAAGAGGGCAAACCCAGUGCUUGCACUGGGGGUUGUAGGACUGCAAUGUGCAAGAGGUGAGUUUAGCAGAACAUUCUGGAAAGUAUAGCCAUAGAGGGUGAUAGUCCCGUAUGCGAAAAACAAACCUUAGCUAGCAGUAUCCUGAGUAGGGCGGGACACGAGAAAUCCUGUCUGAAGCUGGGUCGACCACGAUCCAACCCUAAAUACUAAUACCAGAUCGAUAGUGCACAAGUACCGUGAGGGAAAGGUGAAAAGAACUGAGGUGAUCAGAGUGAAAUAGAACCUGAAACCAUUUGCUUACAAUCAUUCAGAGCACUAUGUAGCAAUACAGUGUGAUGGACUGCCUUUUGCAUAAUGAGCCUGCGAGUUGUGGUGUCUGGCAAGGUUAAGCAAACGCGAAGCCGUAGCGAAAGCGAGUCUGAAUAGGGCGCUUAGUCAGAUGCUGCAGACCCGAAACGAAGUGAUCUAUCCAUGAGCAAGUUGAAGCUAGUGUAAGAACUAGUGGAGGACUGAACCCAUAGGCGUUGAAAAGCCCCGGGAUGACUUGUGGAUAGGGGUGAAAGGCCAAUCAAACUUCGUGAUAGCUGGUUCUCUCCGAAAUAUAUUUAGGUAUAGCGUUGUGUCGUAAUAUAAGGGGGUAGAGCACUGAAUGGGCUAGGGCAUACACCAAUGUACCAAACCCUAUCAAACUCCGAAUACCUUAUAUGUAAUCACAGCAGUCAGGCGGCGAGUGAUAAAAUCCGUCGUCAAGAGGGAAACAACCCAGACUACCAGCUAAGGUCCCUAAAUCUUACUUAAGUGGAAAACGAUGUGAAGUUACUUAAACAACCAGGAGGUUGGCUUAGAAGCAGCCAUCCUUUAAAGAAAGCGUAAUAGCUCACUGGUCUAGUGAUUUUGCGCGGAAAAUAUAACGGGGCUAAAGUAAGUACCGAAGCUGUAGACUUGCGCACAACUUAGAUUAUUUAAGUUUAGAAUAUGAGAAACUAAGUUAUAUGUUUAGUUAUAUUUUUACUGAUUUUUAUAGAGUAAAGAUAGAAAUAAAACUUAGUAAAAUCAGUAAAAAUAUUCUUAGACUAAAGUUAAGUAGUUUAAGUUGUGUGCAAGUGGUAGGAGAGCGUUCUAUUUGCGUCGAAGGUAUACCGGUAAGGAGUGCUGGAGCGAAUAGAAGUGAGCAUGCAGGCAUGAGUAGCGAUAAUUAAUGUGAGAAUCAUUAACGCCGUAAACCCAAGGUUUCCUACGCGAUGCUCGUCAUCGUAGGGUUAGUCGGGUCCUAAGUCGAGUCCGAAAGGGGUAGACGAUGGCAAAUUGGUUAAUAUUCCAAUACCAACAUUAGUGUGCGAUGGAAGGACGCUUAGGGCUAAGGGGGCUAGCGGAUGGAAGUGCUAGUCUAAGGUCGUAGGAGGUUAUACAGGCAAAUCCGUAUAACAAUACUCCGAGAACUGAAAGGCUUUUUGAAGUCUUCGGAUGGAUAGAAGAACCCCUGAUGCCAUCGAGCCAAGAAAAGUUUCUAAGUUUAGCUAAUGUUGCCCGUACCGUAAACCGACACAGGUGGGUGGGAUGAGUAUUCUAAGGCGCGUGGAAGAACUCUCUUUAAGGAACUCUGCAAAAUAGCACCGUAUCUUCGGUAUAAGGUGUGGUUCGCUUCGUAUUAGGAUUUACUCCGAAAG